GAUAAAUUUUUUAUAUUUUUUAUAGUUUAUUAUAAAUUUAUUUUACAUGUAAAUUUUAGUAUUAAAUUUUAAUUAUUUUAAUAAUAAUUAAUUAAAUUUUACAGUAAUUAAAAUUAAAAAUUUAAGAAAUUAAGAUUUAGUAAUAUUUAAAUUAAUAACUAAUUUUGUGCCAGCAGUUGCGGUUAAACAAAAAUUAAAUUAAAUUAUUUCAGUAUAUAAUAAAUAAUUAUAAUUAAAUUAAAUAUUAAAUUAUUAAGUGAAAUUUUAAUUUAAUUAAAAAUUAUAAUAAAAUUAUGAUUUAAUAAAUUUUAUUAUAAACUAGGAUUAGAUACCCUAUUAUUAAAAAUUUAAUUAAAAAUACUAAAAUAGUAAAUAAUAUAUUAUUGAAACUUAAAUAAUAUGGCGGUAUUUUAGUUCAUUUAGAGGAAUCUGUCUAAUAAUUGAUAAUCCACGAAUAAAUUUACUUGAUUUAUAAUUUUGUAUAUCAUUGUUAAAAAAAUAUUUUUAAAUAAAAAUAAUAUUUUAAAAUUUAAAAUAAAAUUUAAUUCAGAUCAAGAUGCAGUUUAUAAUUAAGUUUAAGAUGGAUUACAAUAAAUUUAUUUAAACGAAAAGAAUUUUGUAAAAUUUAAUUGAAGGUGGAUUUAAAUGUAAUUUUAAUUAAUUUAUUAAAAUGAUUAAAAAUUGAAAUAUGUACAUAUUGCCCGUCACUUUCAUUUAAAAAUUGAAAUAAGUCGUAACAAAGUAGAGGUACUGGAAAGUGUUUCUAGAAUGAA
rnacentral:ncRNA from 1 species